AGAAUCAACGCUGGCGGCGUGCCUAACACAUGCAAGUCGAACGAGAAAGUGGAGCAAUCCAUGGGUAAAGUGGCGACCGGGUGAGUAACACGUGACUAACCUACCUUCGAGUGGGGGAUAACCUCGGGAAACCGGGGCUAAUACCGCAUAAUGCCUUCGGGUUAAAGGAGCAAUUCGCUUGAAGAGGGGGUCGCGGCUGAUUAGCUAGUUGGCGGGUAACGGCCCACCAAGGCGAUGAUCGGUAGCC
rnacentral:rRNA from 1 species